rnacentral:lncRNA from 1 species
CUUUCAUCAAGACCAAUGACACUAUUUGACAUUAAGUCAAAUCGUGCAGAGAAAAACUGGGGCAAAAGUCUUAUUUUGUAAUUUGUCAGAAUGGGUUCUGAAAAGCUGUGCUUGCUCCCAAGGGUUUCCUGCAGGCGAAAAGGAAACUUCCCUAAGACAGAAGAGGGAAUCCACCAUUUGGCCCCGGAUGGAUGGUCUCAGCCACAGGACAGGAACAAGGACAGGAAUCUGCUCACAGGUCCCCGCCCAGCUGCUCUCUGACCGGCCACAGUAUUCAGGCCAAGACACUCAGCUGUGACUGCGAAUGCUACUUGUCUGACCUAAGGAUCUAAGGACUGUAGCUGCCUUGUUUGCAUUUCUUACUCCAACGAUAACUCAAAGAAAAGAAAAUGAAUCACCGUGGAAAAUGAGGGGAGGGUGCAAAAGUAGUGCCGCAGAGCCUCAGAAUCCUCCCACCUGCCCUCCACCUGCAUCUCCACCAGCCCAUUCUCACCCUUCCCCACAUCGCAGGAGAGGAACCGCCCAGUUUCCGGGAAGACAGGGUCACUUGGUUUAGCUGGAGUGGUCCCACUCUUCCUAAGUACCUGGUCUUCACAGUAGCUGCUGUGGCAGGGAAGGACGCAAUCCCAGGACUAGACUCUUAUCUUCUCCUUUUGCCCAGGCCCCACCAGCUUCCACACUGAACAACACGGGGCCUGUGGAUCCAUCCUCAUCCCCUCCCUAAGCUACUGACCCACUCCCCUCCCCCUCCUGGCAUUGAUGGGCUGUCCUCAGGGAAGCCAGUGACCCUAGUCCAGGGCCUCAGACCAGGGUCAAGGGGCAGAAUGUCUACACCAGGCCAGGGAUCCCUGCAGACUGGUCUUCGGGAAGUGCACCCCCAGAUGCAAUCAGUUCACAGAGGAAAACCACAUUUUGUUUAGUCUUUUCCUAGUCUAGAAGGCCUAGUAUUUAAUAAACCCUGGAGCCAGCCCUGAGGGGGACUGGCUUUUAUGGGCUCCAGGCAGCUCUCUCAGCCUCUUCCCAGGUGGGGGGGCUUGGCCUGUUGGCAGCUGACUUGAGUUUUCUUCCCAGCCCCACCUCGCCCAAUGCCCCCACCUUUUCCAUGAGAUGAAGAGAAACUUGGCCUCCAAGGGUCACUCUUCUCCCCAGGAAUGUGUGGCCCAGCUUCUCCAGUUUAAAAGACUUUCCUCUGCUCCAGGGCUGACCCCAAACAGAUGGGAACCUCUAGAGCUUGGUUGGCCAAUGCCAUGUUCAGCCCAGUCACAGCUGAGAUCUUGUCACCUAGGUGAGUGCUUUACUGCUGGAGAAGUAGCAAUCAAGAGAACAGUUCUUUUUAACAUGGACAUGAGAGAUUUUAGGGACCAGUCCCCAGUGCUCAAAUCAUAGCAGGUCCCACCCAAGAACUUGGCUCAUCCACAAACCAAGCUCCUGCCAAGCCCUGGCUUAUGGAGAUGGACCAGACAUUCCUGGGGCAUCAUGGCAGGCGGCCACUGAUGCUGUCUCAAAUCCUGGGGUUCCAUAUUACGGAGAGAAUCAGCUGCAAAAGGCAACAAUUGUCUUUGAGUCACCCCUGCCCUUCCAAAAAUCAGGCUUUCAAGAGUUGAAGGCGUGAAGCGUAAUGCAGGGAAUUUCUGACAGUGCAGAGGGUAUCUGACAGGCUGGGAUGUUCCAGCGAUGACUGAACACGCAGAUUGAAUGGAACACUGAUUACAUUCUUGGUUAGCCGCCUAUAUAGCCCAUACUGGGUCCUCAUUACAUGUGCCCUAACAACAAACAUUAUGUUUCAUUAAAAUAUUACACACUUAGGAAAAUACUUCUAAAAAUGCAAAGAGGAGAAUAAAAACUACCGCAAGUGCUAUACUGAGACCCAGCGCUGUGGCAAGUUCCCCUGACCUGUCUGCAGGGAUCAUUACAAGCCGAUACUGGCUGCCCAGCGGGACCUGAUGAGACAUCAGAGAGCUCACGUGACCUCCAUUAUCACUGUCACCGCCGUGCGUGCUGUUCACACAAACAUCGGAGAUGUAAGUGACACUUUACAACAAUUCCUGAGCCUUCCAUCAUGUGGCUCAGAAUGUCAUGGCCCAGAUGAUGUCGGGGGGUAUUAAAACAAAUAAAUGAACCAUCGAACAAGUAAAUAAAUAAAUACACAAAGGAAAGCGGGGAGAGAGAGGGAAGGAACCGGUUAGGGCACUCACACAGUGCAGAGGAGUCUGAAAAGGAAUGCUGCCUGCUGGCGCCCUGGCUCUCUGUCUCUCUCCCUGUCUUUCUGUCUCUGUGUGUGUUUUUCCUCACUCUCUGUCUCUCUCGCCAUCUAGCUGUCUCUCCUCUCUCGGCCCUUUCUCAUCAUAAACCCCCUUACAUGUGAUCUCCUUUAAUCCUCACAACAGCCUGAUGUAGUCACUGGCUUUCCUCCUAUUUUACAGCUGAGAAAACUGGAGCUCUGAGAGAUGGACUACCUUGCUCCAAGACACACAGGCAGGACUGAGUUACUGCUUUCCUGAGAGGAGGGAACUACAUCACUCCCCAAAAGGAAACUGGAGACCACGCUAGGCGAGCACAGCUUUCCUGAAUGCCAGCAUACCAGGGCUGGAGGUGCAGGUUUGGUGCUGCCUCCGUCACCCUAAGCCCUCAACAUCUCCAUCCCCUGGUCUCUUGGUAAACAGCUAAGCCAAGAUGGCCAGAGCUGGGAGGAUGAUUGGGCUGAGUCAUGUCACUGUAGCCCACAGACAAGUCUGCAACCCAUUAAAGACUUCUCUUCUCCAUUAAUUUCAGAGACAAAGAGACGUUUGAAGUUUAAUGUCAUUCUCUUGCUCAGCCUUCCUCAAUGAGGCCCCCAGAAGGGUGAGUGAGGGGCUCUCGGAAGGAGUGGGGCUACUGCAGGGCUGGCUCCAGCCGCAGUGUGGGAGUACCCAGGUCUUUGCUUGGAACAAACACCUAUUUGACAGACAGCAGUUGGGUCCUGGGUAGAACCAUUGAGACCAGCUACCAUUCCUGGUUCUGAAAUUUAAUAAUGAAAUAAAUGUAAUCACACAUAUUUAAUUAAGCCAUUUCUUAAUAAUCAUUAUCAUAGCAUGGCACACUCCCCACACGCCUGGCAUAGCAAGGCACUAUCAUACGCAUAGAAGCAUAGACCUUUGCUGAGAGCGUCACUCCGUACCAACCCCAGACUCAGUAGCGGUGAGAACUUGCCCAAGUCAAAAGCUUCCCUGCGGCUCAUUUCCUCCUCUGUAGAACGGGGGACUGAAAACAAGGAACAGGCAUCGGGACAGCGGAUCAUGAAACUGGUGCCCCAUGCAGUGGGUACUCUAAAAUACGAAGGAGCAGGUUUCGGGUGCAGCAGCAGCAAGGAUAGAGCUGAAACACAGAUGCCUAAGGGAAGG